AUGAGGUGCCUAGUUUGGAACUGUCGUGGGGCUGGCAGACCCGGGACAGUUCGAGAGCUUCGAGAUCUUUCGAAGCAACUUGCCCCCUCUAUUGUAUGCAUCCUUGAAACUCAGUUAGAGGGCUCACGAGUUGAGAAUCUGGUAGGAACUCUAGGUUAUAAUAAAAGCUUUGUUGUAAACAGCUCCGGCAGGAGUGGUGGACUAGGCAUUUUUUGGAAUGAGGAAAUAAAGCUCGAGGUUAUCAGUUAUUCUGAGUAUCACAUAGACGUUUUGGUUGAACAGAUGGUAGAUAUCAAAACCAAAAUCACCUUUGUGUAUGGUGAGGCCCAAACAAGCGAGCGGUACAAAACUUGGGACAUGUUGCGUGGAAUUGCAGGAAUGAGCAACGAUCCAUGGAUAGUCAUUGGGGACUUUAACGAAGUACUUCAUGCCCAUGAGCACGAUGGAAUUGGCCAGCGAAGCCAAGAACAGAUGCACGUAUUCCGAGACGCUAUUGACACGUGCGGUUUAUCUGACAUUGGUAUAAGGGACAGAGCUGGACCUUUGAGAAGAAGGUGGUGGGCGGCACAUACACAAGGGUGCGGUUGGACAGGGGCGUGGCUAAUCCCGCUUGGGUUCUGGCCUUCCCAGAUGCUUCUCUGGAACACCUUACUGCUGCUACAUCUGACCACGUACCUAUGA
rnacentral:rRNA from 1 species